rnacentral:rRNA from 1 species
GACGAACGCUGGCGGCGUGCUUAACACAUGCAAGUCGAACGGAAAGGCCCUGCUUUUGUGGGGUGCUCGAGUGGCGAACGGGUGAGUAACACGUGAGUAACCUUCCCUUUACUUUGGGAUAACUUCAGGAAACUGGUGCUAAUACCUGAUAGGAGCUCCUGCUGCAUGGUGAGGGUUGGAAAGUUUCGGCGGAUGUGGAUGGACGCGCGGCUUAUCAGCUUGUUGGUGGGGUAGUGGCUUACCAAGGCAUUGACGGGUAGCCGGCAUGGGAGGGGGACCGGCCACAUGGGGACUGAGAGACGGCGCAGACUCCUAUGGGAGGCAGCAGGGGGGAAUAUUGCACAAUGGGCGGACGCCUGAUGCAGAAACGCCGCGUGCGGGAUGAACGCCUUCGGGUUGUAAACCGCUUUCGCCUGUGACGAAGCGUGAGUGACGGUAAUGGGUAAAGAAGCACCGGCUAACUACGUG